rnacentral:tRNA from 1 species
GGGGACUUAGCUCUGUGGUAGAGCGCUUGCCUAGCAAGCACAAGGCCCUGGGUUCGGUUCCCAGCUCCG